UAGUACGGCGAGUGAAGCGGCAAAAGCUCAAAUUUGAAAUCUGGUACCUUCGGUGCCCGAGUUGUAAUUUGGAGAGGGCAACUUUGGGGCCGUUCCUUGUCUAUGUUCCUUGGAACAGGACGUCAUAGAGGGUGAGAAUCCCGUGUGGCGAGGAGUGCGGUUCUUUGUAAAGUGCCUUCGAAGAGUCGAGUUGUUUGGGAAUGCAGCUCUAAGUGGGUGGUAAAUUCCAUCUAAAGCUAAAUAUUGGCGAGAGACCGAUAGCGAACAAGUACAGUGAUGGAAAGAUGAAAAGAACUUUGAAAAGAGAGUGAAAAAGUACGUGAAAUUGUUGAAAGGGAAGGGCAUUUGAUCAGACAUGGUGUUUUGUGCCCUCUGCUCCUUGUGGGUAGGGGAAUCUCGCAUUUCACUGGGCCAGCAUCAGUUUUGGUGGCAGGAUAAAUCCAUAGGAAUGUAGCUUGCCUCGGUAAGUAUUAUAGCCUGUGGGAAUACUGCCAGCUGGGACUGAGGACUGCGACGUAAGUCAAGGAUGCUGGCAUAAUGGUUAUAUGCCGCCCGUCU
rnacentral:rRNA from 1 species